GCUUCAGAACAUAAUGCAGUGGUUACAGACAGGCGCUGGCGUUGGUGCAGCUGACCUGGGUUCCCUAACUUCGAGCUCUAUGGCCUUGGGCAGGUCAUGUAACAAACUGAGGACUGUAAAUGCUUAGAACAAUGUCUGGCUUAGUAUUGUUGGUUUUAUUAGUAUAAGUGUGUUUAGGGAGAAGGAAUCUGCUCUCAGGCUUCCGACUGCCAUUCGAGAGGAAAUCUGGCAGGCCGGCGUGGCUCAGUGGAUGAGAAAACUGAAGCUUGGAGAGGUUAAAGGAAUUUGCCCAACUUCACACCGCCGGAACGUGACCGACCCUUGGAAGCAGAAACAAGCAAAGUGGGUGCAAGAUGUAACCCAAUGUUUCUGAAAUAAAUUAUUUUCUUUUUAUCUCACAA